AUUGAACGCUGGCGGCAGGCUUAACACAUGCAAGUCGAACGAUGAGCCUCUAGCUUGCUAGAGAUGAUUAGUGGCGGACGGGUGAGUAACAUUUAGGAAUCUACCUAGUAGUGGGGGAUAGCUCGGUGAAACUCGAAUUAAUACCGCAUACGACCUACGGGUGAAAGGGGGCGCAAGCUCUUGCUAUUAGAUGAGCCUAAAUCAGAUUAGCUAGUUGGUGGGGUAAAGGCCCACCAAGGCGACGAUCUGUAACUGGUCUGAGAGGAUGAUCAGUCACACCGGAACUGAGACACGGUCCGGACUCCUACGGGAGGCAGCAGUGGGGAAUAUUGGACAAUGGGGGCAACCCUGAUCCAGCCAUGCCGCGUGUGUGAAGAAGGCCUUUUGGUUGUAAAGCACUUUAAGCAGGGAGGAGAGGCUAAUGGUUAAUACCCAUUAGAUUAGACGUUACCUGCAGAAUAAGCACCGGCUAACUCUGUG
rnacentral:rRNA from 1 species